GAAUCUUGCUGAAAAACUCCUUGCUCUCCUUACAUCGGUGCCAGUCUGAGACUACAACUGAUCCAGGAGCAGCGAGAGACGGAAACGCUGCCAUGUCGUAAAGUUUGAUGAAUCAGUCUGAGCUACUUCCACGUCACGGAAUGAACCGCUGGAAACUCCGAAAUGGUUGGGCUCCUGGGUGGAAUCCACACACAGGCCACUUUCUACAGUCGGCUAAAAAAAAAGUCCUUGGGCUACGGCAGAGAGGCUCGGUGAUUAAUGGACACAGGUUUCCUGAGUCUAAAUAACCAGGUCAACGCUCGACUUCUGAAGCAGCAGAUUUGUGUGAAACAAAAAUAUGUAAUCUUCCUCCGGACACCUGCCUGACAACGUCAGCCGGGCCAGGUGUUGGAAACCUCUGAAGGCUGUUACGGAAUAUCACUUAUUUAUCCUCCCUAUCCUAGAAUAUUUAAAAAAAAUAUAUAAAAAUCGUUUUUUAUUUUUAAUACUGUAGUAUAUGCAAUCACAAAAAAAAUAAAAACCCAUUUACGAUCAGUGAUGAUUAAUAUUUAUGAAAGAAACAAACGAUACUUUUCUAACCCUGUGAAGUCCCAGUUUUGUUUUGAUCAGUUUUCUAAUGAACUCUUUGUCGUUUCCUUGUCACAGAGUGAACCAGAAGUCUUCCAGUCAAGGUGACUCGGACCAUCAGGAGUCAUAAACCACAGCCUGACUCACUAACCUCUGGGAGGUGCGCGGCCUCAUCCCUGUAAUCUGUGGUUUGUGUCGUCGUGGCAACUCACACAAAACAAAUUCCUGCGAGAUGGAAGACACCGCUCAGGUCCAAACGUUCCAAAGUGAAACAGUCUUUAGGUCGGACAGUCCCUGCUGACCGUCCUCUAAAUAAUCGCCUGGAUUUCCCCUCCUCUCCUCCUGGACGUCGUUCCCACGAGUGAGUCAAGGCCCGUCUGUGCAGCGGCGUGCACUCGGAGAGAAGAGGCUUCAGGCUGAGGACCAAUCACACCCGCCUCCCCCCGACAGAGGAUCCCCCGACAUCAACUGAAGAGGCGGACAUUGUCUCGUCCAAAGUUACCGACCACGGACAUUAAUCAUACAACGGACAGAGCUCCACACAGAGAGGGCGCUCUCCUGAGAUGAUCUUUAUCCACUCAGUUCUGAAAACGCUCGACUACUUGAGAGAAACUUCCAGAUCCAACAACUGAAACAGUCUUUUAUCUUCAGUCCUUGUCGGUUCUGCUCCACACUCACACGCUGAGGUGUUAUUUUCAACUGUGCUAACGCCGAGACUCUGACGAGUGGUUUCUGUUGUCACACACUCCUCCACGGUGUCAAAGGUUAACACCCUCUCUAACACACUAGUAUGCAAAUGCCUCCAAUACAAUACAGGCUUCUUUUUAUUCACCUAACAGAGCAUGUGUCGAGCUGCAGAGUGGAGAGUGGACCGCGGCCUCACAGCGCUCGCCCCCGCGGGUACCCGAAUACCCGAAUACCCCUCCCUCCCUCCCUCCUCCCCUCUGGUCCAAGGGCUUCUGAGGGCAGCGGUAAAAUCCAAUCCCAAUGUGAUGAUGAAACUCUCAGAUAGUUCUGCUCAACAAUCGCACCUCUGUUCUGGGUCCAGUGGGAAGUGAAAGGUUACUGGUUCAAUUCCCCGUUCAACUGUUUUCUAUAUAAAAUGGUUUGAAUGGAUUGAAGAUUCCUGUCCAACUUCCUGUUCAAACCUGUAGGAGAUUAUAUGGGAUCAUUAAAGCAAACCAGCCUGGCGUUCAGAAACAAAAGCAGCGGCGUGCCUCGACAGGUCUUCAUCUUCUGAUCCCACCAGAUGAAAGGUGAGAAUGUGGUUCCAAAAACACGCGGUGUUCCUCCAGAACACAUGGGCUGAAUCUGUUUGUGGCUUCGCCCACGAUCACUCAUCGCCGCCUGCAUCGCCGCUGACCUCACGCAUCAAAGAGCGACAGCAGAAGAAAAAUGAAGUCUGCAGGUAAGGGCAGAAGCGUAGGAUAUUAACGGAAGAGUCGUUUGGCAGCAGGGCCUCACCUUUGAAAUUCAAAACCUCCAAUUAACCGGGCCUUUAAAGGUACAUAUCGUAUAACAAUCAUAACCAGCCGCAGAACCACUCUGGGGAAUAGUCAUUCAAAGUGAGCCUUUGUUUGUUGCUGAUUGCUUUUGUUCCCGUAUUAGUGUGUGACAGGUUGUGUAUUCAACCUGAGGUCACUGUAAUCCUCGUCUGGCAGGAGAGAGAGAGAGAGAGAGAGAGAGAGAGGAAAGCGUGAAAGUGAAUUUCAGUAAAGACCUGUGUUAAAUCUAAUGACUGUUGGGGGAGCCCCCCCCCCUGCACUAACCCCCCCCCCAUAAAGAUGACAGCACACAUUCAUAUGCAUUGGCUUGUGUGCUCAGCUUGACCAAGUCUGCCCCGCAGGCUGAACAAAGGGGAGGAAGGAAGAGAGGGGCUGUAGAGAAUGCCCGGGGGUGUGGAGUGACAACAACACACACUCACACACUCACACACUCACACUCACACACACACACAGUGUUCCUCCAGCUUGCAUCCUGUGGUCUCUCAUGUCUGCAGUCGUAGCAGUGACAGCUGGGCCAGCACACUCCACAUGGGUUCAUUCUCUCUUUAAGCUGCCACACACACACACACACACACACACACACUGACACGCACACACAAGGAUACUUCGUCCUGUUUACUAUUUACCUUUCACAGUGUCCAGCCAACAUGGGAGGUUUCCACAGUGUGAUCACAGCCAUUACAGCUGUUUGUGUGUGUGUGUGUGUGUGUGUGUGUGUGUGUGUGUCAUGUUGUCAUAAAGUGGGGCAAAUGUGACCUUCAAGUCUUACCUUUAAUGUGGUGGUUAAUUACUUUUUUUUGGGGCUCCAGUCCGGUCGUUCCUGCUGCCAGUCUGACGACCACAAACAAAACAGACUUCCCGAAACUCGACGGGUGUUGGUCGACAAUUUUGUGGAAAGACCAUCACGUUGGAUCACCAGGAGAGAAGAGUCCAGAAGGUGACUGUCGGUGUGGUCCACAACAAUGACGUCACUAUUUGGCCAAACGGAACACCUGCUCUGUUGGAGGUAGAGCUGCAUUCAUGGCAAUGACAGGAAACAGCUGAAGUAUGCCGCACCACCAGAGGAUGAAAGGUCUGAUUCAUGCACCGUACCGUGGUAACUCGGCAACUGGUGGACUCUAACCUGAAACCCUCUGGACCCAAGUCCACUUCCCUGACCACCACUGACCACUGUGCACGGACCCGUGACAGGAUUUCUUUCUGU